GCUGGCGGCGUGCCUAACACAUGCAAGUCGCACGAGAAAGUGGAGCAAUCCAUGAGUAAAGUGGCGUACGGGUGAGUAACACGUGACUACCUACCCUCGAGUGGGGAAUAACCCCGGGAAACCGGGGCUAAUACCGCAUAACAUCGCGAGAUCAAAGCAGCAAUGCGCUUGAGGAGGGGGUCGCGGCUGAUUAGCUAGUUGGCAGGGUAACGGCCUACCAAGGCGAUGAUCAGUAGCCGGCCUGGGAGGGCGCACGGCCACACUGGAACUGAAACACGGUCCAGACUCCUACGGGAGGCAGCAGUGGGGAAUUUUGCGCAAUGGGGGAAACCCUGACGCAGCAACGCCGCGUGGAGGAUGAAGUCCCUUGGGACGUAAACUCCUUUCGAUCGGGACGAUAAUGACGGUACCGGAAGAAGAAGCCCCGGCUAACUUCGGUUGGGCCCCCAAAAGGGGCCCAAAAAAGGGCCCCCCCCCC
rnacentral:rRNA from 1 species